ACGGAGGGUGCAAGCGUUAUCCGGAUUCACUGGGUUUAAAGGGUGCGUAGGCGGGUAUAUAAGUCAGUGGUGAAAGCUCCGGGCUUAACUUGGAAACUGCCAUUGAUACUGUAUAUCUUGAAUGUCGUUGAGGUUAGCGGAAUGUUGCAUGUAGCGGUGAAAUGCUUAGAUAUGUUACAGAACACCAAUUGUGAAGACAGCUAACUAAGCGAUGAUUGACGCUGAGGCACGAAAGCGUGGGGAGCAAACAGGA
rnacentral:rRNA from 1 species